CGAAUCAGUCGCCUAUAUGGAGUGGUCAGGCUCACCUGCUUUUUGCCAGACUUUUCUGUCAGAAGAUCUUGCCAUAUAGGAUGGACCCAGUGGAUUAGGGAAGUAUCCAGUAUAUUGUGGAUGCCCUAGGAAAACAGGAAAUCCUCCUCAGACGUCAGCAAUCUGAGCUGGCUGCGAUCGGGGAAUCCUUGGAGUCCUUCCAUGCUGGUCUGACGGCGAUGGCUUCGCAAGUUCAAGAUCUGCUUUCGAGCCGCCCUGCUGCCUUUUCUUCUCAUCCAGUGCCUUUAGUCCUGGGGCAUCCAUGGUUCCUGAAGCACGAUCAGCAUAUCGACUAUGAGAAGGGACUGAUUGAUACCUGGGCUCCUUCUUGUACCUUACAGUGUCUGCAAACUGACUUUUGCCUGGGAACUCGCCGACUCCAAAACAGUUACCUGAUCCAAGGUGCUUGCAGAAUUUUUGGAUCUGGGGAAAGUGUUCAGGGUCUACGGAGAACACGAUGAAGAAUCGUUUUCCCCUACCUUUGUUGUCAUUGGUGCUCGACCAGUUACAGGAAGCUACAAUCUUCACCAAGCUGAAACACCUACCAUUUUGUCCGGAUCCAAGAAGGUGAUGAAUGGAAGACCGCCUUGAACACACCCACGGGACACUUUGAAUAUCUUGUGAUGUUCUACGAGACCUGCUCAAUAGGUCUGUUUGUUUACCUCGAUGACAUCUUCAUUUUCUCACAAAACAGGACCACAUACAACAUGUUCAUGAGAUACUCCAGAGACUCCUCUUGAAUAAGCUGUAUGUUAAAGCAGAAAAGUGUCUUCUCCACCGACGUACUCUCUCCUACUUGGGAUUCAUCCUUUCUGAGGGCCCAGUUCAAAUGGACUCAAAUGGAGUAGUACCCAGGUCACGGAAGGACCUUCAACACUUCUUGGAGUUUUCUAAUGACAUUUUAUACAGGGGUAUAGCAUGGUCGCUGCUCUCACUUCUUCCAAGGUCACCUUUAAAUGAAAUCCGGAGGCUCAAGAUGCAUCAGCGUCCAUUCAUGGUAUUCCUGUCAAUAACUCCUUUAAUAACUCCAUUGACAUAAUGUAAUUGAGAAGGAACAAUAAUAAAACUUACUGUAUGUACCA